rnacentral:tRNA from 1 species
GUUCUUAUAGUUGAGUGAACAACGAUAGUUUUUCAAGUUAUUGGUCUUGGUUAAAGCCCAGGUAAGAAUA